UGCAGUAAACAACAGUAGAGUA
rnacentral:siRNA from 1 species